UCUGUACUGACAUGAAUAAUGUAUCAAGUGUCUCGUUAGCCUUUUUAUCUCUGAGGGGUAUCUGUGUCUCUCUCCCCCAUCUGGUCUGAAAAGGCGUAAGAGGACUGUGGUGAUGUGAAUAUCUUUUAGGGGUCACCUUUGGAUAAGUAUUGUUAUGAUUGUAGAUAUCUAAUAAGACAACUAUGGUUGGUACGGCUGUAGUUGUAGAUUGUACUAUUGGUUGGCCAGUAAAAAUUAUACCUAAGCAAAUUGCCAUUAUUUGUAUCUGAUCUGGUCAUUCCACAUGGGUAGUU
rnacentral:lncRNA from 1 species